rnacentral:rRNA from 1 species
CAGUUAAAAAGCUCGUAGUUGGAUUUCUGCGGGGGCGGGGCGGCCGAACGCUUAUAGCGUUUCGAGCUAGCACUUCCCCUGCAUCCUGCCGCGAACCGUGCUACCAUUAGUUUGGUGGCGCCGGGGAUCGGCUCGUUUACUUUGAGAAAAAUAGAGUGUUCAAAGCAGGCCACACGCCUUGAAUAAGUUAGCAUGGAAUAAUGAUAAAGGACUUCGGUUCUAUUUUGUUGGUGUUCGGGACUGAAGUAAUGAUUGAUAGGGACAGUUGGGGCGGUCCGUAUUCCAAAGCGAGAGGUGAAAUUCUUAGACCUUCGGAAGACGAACAGCUGCGAAAGCGUUCCGCAAUGAUGUUCCCUUUGAUCAAGAACGAAGGUUGGGGGAUCGAAGACGAUCGGAUACCGUCGUAGUCUCAAACUAUAAACUAUACCAGCUAGGGAUCGGCCAACGUUUAACUUACAUCGACUUGGUCGGCACC